rnacentral:rRNA from 1 species
UACAGAGGUCCCGAGCGUUGUUCGGAUUCACUGGGCGUAAAGGGUGCGUAGGUGGUGAGGUAAGUCGGAUGUGAAAUCUCCGGGCUCAACCCGGAAAUGGCAUUGGAAACUACCUUGCUGGAGGAUUUGAGGGGGGAUUGGAAUACUUGGUGUAGCAGUGAAAUGCGUAGAUAUCAAGUGGAACACCAGUGGCGAAGGCGGGUCUCUGGGCCGAUACUGACGCUGAGGAGCGAAAGCGUGGGGAGCGAACAGG